UGACAAUAAAUAACAAUGCAGGGCUCUUACGGGUCUUGCAAUUGGAAUGAGUACAAUUUAAAUCCCUUAACGAGGAUCAAUUGGAGGGCAAGUCUGGUGCCAGCAGCCGCGGUAAUUCCAGCUCCAAUAGCGUAUAUUAAAAUUGUUGCCGUUAAAAAGCUCGUAGUCGAACUUCGGGCUCUGUCAGCCGGUCCGCCUUCUUGGUGUGUACUUGUUUGACGGAGCCUUACCUCCUGGUGAACGGCGAUGUCCUUUACUGGGUGUCGUCGCAAACCAGGACUUUUACUUUGAAAAAAUUAGAGUGUUCAAAGCAGGCCUUUGCCCGAAUACAUUAGCAUGGAAUAAUAAAAUAGGACGCGCGUUCCCAUUUUGUUGGUUUCUGAGAUCGCCGUAAUGAUUAAUAGGGAUAGUUGGGGGCAUUUGUAUUCCGUCGUCAGAGGUGAAAUUCUUGGAUUGCCGGAAGACAAACUACUGCGAAAGCAUUUGCCAAGGAUGUUUUCAUUGAUCAAGAACGAAGGAAGGGGGAUCGAAAACGAUUAGAUACCGUUGUAGUCUCUUCUGUAAACUAUGCCAAUUGGGGAUCGGUACAGGAUUUUUAAUGACUGUAUCGGCACCCGAAGAGAAAUCUUUAAAUGAGGUUCGGGGGGGAGUAUGGUCGCAAGGCUGAAACUUAAAGGAAUUGACGGAAGGGCACCACCAGGUGUGGAGCCUGCGGCUUAAUUUGACUCAACACGGGGAAACUCACCAGGUCCAGACACAAUAAGGAUUGACAGAUUGAUAGCUCUUUCUUGAUCUUGUGGUUGGUGGUGCAUGGCCGUUCUUAGUUGGUGGAGUGAUUUGUCUGGUUAAUUCCGAUAACGAACGAGACCUUAACCUGCUAAAUAGACCAGCCGGCUUUGGCUAGCUGCUGUCUUCUUAGAGGGACUAUCAGCGUUUAGCUGAUGGAAGUUUGAGGCAAUAACAGGUCUGUGAUGCCCUUAGAUGUUCUGGGCCGCACGCGCGCUACACUGACAGAGCCAGCGAGUCUACCACCUUUGCCGGAAGGCAUGGGUAAUCUUGUGAAACUCUGUCGUGAUGGGGAUAGAACAUUGCAAUUAUUGUUCUUCAACGAGGAAUACCUAGUAAGCGUGAUUCAUCAGAUCGCGUUGAUUACGUCCCUGCCCUUUGUACACACCGCCCGUCGCUACUACCGAUUGAAUGGCUUAGUGAGGCCUCCGGAUUGGCUAUUGGGAGCUCGCGAGAGCACCCGACUGCCGAGAA
rnacentral:rRNA from 1 species